CCAGAGCUGACGGACAGACUCUUCUCUCUGACGUGUUCCGGAGGAGCAACCUAAUGGAGAGGUUACUUUGGCCUAGAGUUCCAGAACAUGCAGAUGAGCUGGGUUUGGUUGGAACCACAAAGCUCGUAGUGAAACAAGUGAAGAGACCCAUGAACACCCUCUUCAGGCUGUCAGUGAAGUUCUUUCCCCCUGACCUGGUCAGCUGCAGGAAGAGUACACUAG